rnacentral:rRNA from 1 species
CGCUUUUGUGGGGUGCUCGGGUGGCGAACGGGUGAGUAACACGUGAGUAACCUGCCCUUGACUUUGGGAUAACUUCAGGAAACUGGGGCUAAUACCGGAUAGGAGCUCCUGCUGCAUGGUGGGGGUUGGAAAGUUUCGGCGGUUGGGGUUGGACUCGCGGCUUAUCAGCUUGUUGGUGGGGUAGUGGCUUACCAAGGCUUUGACGGGUAGCCGGCCUGAGAGGGUGACCGGCCACAUUGGGACUGAGAUACGGCCCAG